CUGCCUAUCUAGCCUAGAUCGUCACCAUAUCAUCAUAAUUAUCAUCAUCAUUAUUAUUAUAAUUGCGUUAUGCACUGGGCAGUUUGGAAAGGAUAGCCUUGGUGACCGCGGCAGUAUUCUUGGCGGAGAAGGCCAGGAAGACCUGCACCACGUUGACAAAGUCCGCCUCGCCGCCGGCCAGGUCGGACAGCGCGCGGAUGACCAGACACUCCUUGGCCGCAGAGGCGCACACGUGCAUAAAAGCCGCACCCUCCAUCUCGAACGCCUGAGAAAUGCCGUACAUAUAUGCAUCGAUGUUGGUGGUUCGAAAUCAGUCAAACAGGGCAAAUAGGUGCCGGCGUCGUCGAAGCUGAAUAGAAAUGGUUGAGCUCCCUAUCGUUAUGCAAAACCUACGUACGACAGGUGUUUGGGCUCUCUAAACAGAGACAGAAUCGUCGCCAAAUUCAUUUGUAUAUCAUGGUACACGCCAGCCAGGAUCAAUCAUUCAGUGCAAAUUAGCAUGCAUGGUCAACCACCUGACGUUGUGAUCGUGCCGCGCGCAGGGCUUGUGGCUGGGUGCAGCGAUGUGGCUUGAAUUAUUCGCGCAGCGUGGAGCGGGGCCCAGCCGCCGAAAGGCCUCUCGCAAAUUACGUUUCGCAUCAAACAAUAUUUUCACAAUUACCAUGAGGUGAACUCAUAGUCAUAGGAGUGACAUUUAAGUGAUUGGCUUUGCGGUAGUCCAGUUGGGUAGUCUACAGCUGCGACCCCAUCUGCGCCUCACCUGCGCUCUGAACAACCUGUACAGUGCCUGGCGAUACUCCUUGUUGUCUAGGAAGGUGGAGCUGGACGCGCCAGGAUUGGGGGAAACCACCAGCUGGGGCUGAUAGCCCAGAUCCAUUUCCUGCGUGCACAUGCGUACACAUAGCCGAGUUGAGUUAGCGAAAAAACAUGUCAUGCCGAAUUGUAUGGAUGACGAAUGCAUUCCCUGCUGCCAGCAGCCGGCAUGGAACCUGUCGUGGUACGUCUGUGCGUUUGUUAAUGCGUCUGAUGACCGUCUGAUGUGUUUCUGAUGGCUGGCUGGCUCGGUUGGAUGGAGGGAUGGAUGGAUGGCGGGAUGUUUCAUUUGUGUGCGUGGAUGGCAUGACAGCACAAUGUUCAAAGAAAGUCACAGACAGAUAGCGAGUUCUCAGCCAGCCAUCAGCGCCUUCGCGAGUCCUUUCCUUUCUUUUUCUCUGACAAUUUCCGACACUUUCUGACACAAAGGCAGACAUAAUAGAAUUUCUUGCAAGACUUUCUUGCUGACUACAUAGAUGUUCACGGACCUUGCCGUUGAUGACGGCGCUGCGCAGCAGAGGCAGCUUCUCCGCUUGCACCUGCAGCAGUCGUAGCAACAGUACAGUGGUGGUGGGGUAGUGGCGGCAGCAGCAUCUCAAUCAUGCGCUCAAACGAUGUCGUGUAACAACUGGCAACACA
rnacentral:lncRNA from 1 species